AUCCCGCUUCCCUCCUGCCUCGCCACUGCAGGCCUGUCCCUUUGCUUUCUUAAAACUGCGCACCGUCUGAGGCCACUUCGAGCCUACUGGAUCCCUGGUUCCAACCCAGUAGGAUCACAGAAGCAGGGCCAGCUGCCAGGAGAAAAAGUUGUUCUCUUCUACCAAAUUUUCCUGCCAUCAAAUGCUCAUUGAGUGACAAUAGAGAAAGCACCAUCAUCCUGAAGCAUCAGAUUGGGAGAAAAGUCCGCUCUCGAGAGCAUCAACUAUGUAGAAAGGGGACCAGCUUCUGCAAAAGACUUGAGACAGCUCACAAUGAAGUACUCUGUAUUAGGCAGGGUAAUAUUGAUUGCAAGUGACAGAAACCCAAUCAGAAACUCACUGGAGUCAUGAGGAACACUUAUUGGCUCAGUAAAGGCAAAAUAGACCUUCAGAGAAAUAAAGUCUGGGAAAUUGACUAGAUCCUCACUGAAAGAACUACUAAAGGAUGUACUUAUGGAAGAAGAAAAUUACAAAGUGAAAGAACUGGGAUGCAAGAAGUAAUGGUGAGCAUGGAAUUUGGCAAAGAUUCAAGUAAAACAAAGCAAGGACUGAGUAUAUAAAAUCAUAAUCAUAACAAAUUUUGACUAUUAUAUGUAACAGCCAAUCUCUUAACUGG
rnacentral:lncRNA from 1 species